GAAAACCACAGCCGUCUUCCCUAACCGGUACACGAGAGCUCUGUUAGGGUUUGUCUUUGUCUCGAACCAGUCCAUCCCAAGAGCUCGACUAGUGAUUUCUACUCCACUUUUGCAAGUUCGCCUUUCAAGUCGCUGUGCUCCGAGGUCCCGUGUCGAGGUUCUGUUAACCCUUUUCCAGAUGGGCGAGGUUCUCAUGGUCAACAAGCGAAUGGUGA